rnacentral:rRNA from 1 species
GACGAACGCUGGCGGCGUGCCUAAUACAUGCAAGUCGAGCGAAGUUUUUCUGGUGCUUGCACCGGAAAAACUUAGCGGCGAACGGGUGAGUAACACGUAAAGAACCUGCCUCAUAGACUGGGACAACUAUUGGAAACGAUAGCUAAUACCGGAUAAUAGCAUUAACUGCAUGGUUGAUGUUUAAAAGUUGGUUUUGCUAACACUAUGAGAUGGCUUUGCGGUGCAUUAGCUAGUUGGUGGGGUAAAGGCCUACCAAGGCGACGAUGCAUAGCCGACCUGAGAGGGUGAUCGGCCACACUGGGACUGAGACACGGCCCAGACUCCUACGGGAGGCAGCAGUAGGGAAUCUUCCGCAAUGGGCGAAAGCCUGACGGGGCAACGCCGCGUGAGUGAAGAAGGAUUUCGGUUCGUAAAGCUCUGUUGUUAGGGAAGAAUGAUUGUGUAGUAACUAUACACAGUAGAGACGGUACCUAACCAGAAAGCCACGGCUAACUACGUG